rnacentral:antisense_RNA from 1 species
GGGACACAGCAGGUGUCCGAGGGGGGCUCUGCGUCCGCAGGCGAGACGUCCGAGGCCAGAGAGGAGGAGACAGACCCGACCUUGGCCGUGCUCUCCAGCCCUGCCCUGUGCUGGACCCAACCUAACCUCUGCAGCCUGCCUGCCCUGGACACAAAUCUGGCUGAGACCCCAGACCCUGAUGGGGCAGAGCCUGGCACUGGAAAAGCCACCAGGAUGGGCCCCUGUGGGUGUGGGCAGAGGGUGAUCCUCAGUUCAGGACCAGGAUGGGCCCCCGUGGGUGUCGGCAGGGAGUGAUCCUCAGUUCAGGUUUUUCCCAGAAGAUGGGUUCCUGCAGGAGGGGGUCUCAGCAGCUUAGACUUCAGACGCAGUCACUGCUGCUCACUGUGGGAGGGCCAGACACAGAGCCCUCUGUUCUCCGGCAGUUGUGGACAAUGAGGGAUCCCUGGAGGGACGCCUGGUGGGCAGCAGGAGUCCCUCUUGUGGGUCAGGGUGCGGGGAUGGGCUCUCCCUGCACAGCCCUCCCACAGUCUUGUCCUCUGGGAUUGGCAGUUUGCAGGGGUGUCCUCAGCAUCAGACCAGGGGGGCCACACACGG